GGGGGUGACGUGGUUUCGACCGUGAGGGUUGAUGCUUCGGAAGCGAGCCGAGGUACCCCGGAGUCCUCGUUAAAAGCCGGGAAAACAAUACGUGCCGACUCUGAACUGGCACUGGCUGCCUAACAACUAGCAGCCUGUCCGUCCGGGGGGUCCCUGCCUCGCCGGAACCGGGCAACGCAAUGCAGGGUGCCCCCGCCGGAGUGCCGGGACCGGUGGGCCAAGCUUAAUUCCGACUAGAGCCGUGGAUGAGUUGCUGGCGGUGCUCCUAGGCUCGAAUAAAUGCCGCUAGCUGCGCUCGGAGAUGCCGGCGUUGAAACCUCACGGGACGGGGGUUCGAUUCCCCCCACCUCC
rnacentral:tmRNA from 1 species